rnacentral:rRNA from 1 species
UACGUAGGGGGCUAGCGUUGUCCGGAAUCAUUGGGCGUAAAGCGCGUGUAGGCUGACCGGAAAGUCGGGCGUGAAAUCCCUGAGCUCAACUCAGGAACUGCACUCGAAACUCUCGGUCUAGAGUGGUGGAGAGGGAAGUGGAAUUCCUGGUGUAGAGGUGAAAUUCGUAGAUAUCAGGAGGAACACCAGUGGCGAAGGCGGCUUCCUGGACACCAACUGACGCUGAGACGCGAAAGCGUGGGGAGCAAACAGG